UACGGGGGGGGCAAGCGUUGUUCGGAAUUACUGGGCGUAAAGGGCUCGUAGGCGGCCAACUAAGUCAGACGUGAAAUCCCCGGGCUUAACCUGGGAACUGCAUUUGUGACUGCACGGCUAGAGUGUGGCAGAGGGGGGUGGAAUUCCACGUGUAGCAGUGAAAUGCGUAGAGAUGUGGAGGAACACCGAUGGCGAAGGCAGCCCCCUGGGCUAACACUGACGCUCAUGCACGAAAGCGUGGGGAGCAAACAGG
rnacentral:rRNA from 1 species